rnacentral:tRNA from 1 species
GCCUUCGUGGUGUAGUGGUCAGUACGGUCGGCUCAUAUUCGAGAGGUCCGUGGUUCGAGUCCCGACGAGGGCA